UGGGGAAUAUUGCACAAUGGGCGCAAGCCUGAUGCAGCCAUGCCGCGUGUAUGAAGAAGGCCUUCGGGUUGUAAAGCACUUUCAGCGGGGAGGAAGGCGAUAAGGUUAAUAACCUUGUCGAUUGACGUUACCCGCAGAAGAAGCACCGGCUAACUCCGUGCCAGCAGCCGCGGUAAUACGGAGGGUGCAAGCGUUAAUCGGAAUUACUGGGCGUAAAGCGCACGCAGGCGGUCUGUCAAGUCGGAUGGGAAAUCCCCGGGCUCCACCUGUGAACUGCCUUCUAAGUUGGCCGGGUAGAGUCUUUUAGAGGGGGGUAGAAUUCCAGGUGUAGCGGUGAAAUGCGUAGAGAUCUGGAGGAUUACCGGUGGCGAAGGCGGCCCCCUGUACAAAGUCAGACGCUCAGGUGCGAAAGCGUGGGGAGCAAACAGG
rnacentral:rRNA from 1 species